rnacentral:rRNA from 1 species
GCAGUCGAACGCGAAAGCACUUCGGUGCAAGUAGAGUGGCGAAAGGGCGAGGAAUAAGUACCUAACGUGCCUUCAGGUAAGGGAUAGCUCAUGGAAACGUGUGGUAAUACCUUAUAAUCUCAUCUUCUCAUAUGGGUUGAUGAGCAAAGGCUUGCUGCCUGAAGAUCGGGGUACUUCCUAUCAGCUUGUUGGUGAGGUAACGGCUCACCAAGGCGAAGACGGGUAGCUGGUGUGAGAGCACGACCAGCCGCAUCGGGACUGAGACACUGCCCGGACUCCUACGGGAGGCUGCAGUAACGAAUAUUCCGCAAUGCGCGAAAGCGUGACGGAGCAAUGCCGCGUGUGGGAUGAAGCAUCUAGGUGUGUAAACCACUGUCAGGGUUUAGGAAACAAAUGACCAGACCCAAAGGAAGAGCCGGCUAACUCUGUGCCAGCAGCCGCGGUAAUACAGAGGGCCCAAGCGUUAAUCGGAAUCACUGGGCUUAAAGGGUCCGCAGGCGGAUCGGUAAGUAUCUUGUGAAAUACCAUGGCUCAACCAUGGAAUUGCUCGGUGAACUGCCAAUCUUGAACACGGUAGGGGCCAUCGGAACUCCAGGUGGAGCGGUGAAAUGCGUAGAUAUCUAGAGGAACGCCAGAGGCGAAGGCGGAUGGCUGGGCCGUUGUUGACGCUCAGGGACGAAAGCAUGGGUAGCGAACGGGAUUAGAUACCCCGGUAGUCCAUGCCCUAAACGAUGUGCACUAGGUCGCGGAGGUUUUGACGCCAUCGCGGCUGAAGUUAAAAUAUUAAGUGCACCGCCC